rnacentral:misc_RNA from 1 species
AGUGCGCAAGAAGCCAUCAACUGGUAAAGUUAGAGGACGAAAUUUAAAAAUAGCUCGUUGGAAAGUUUUAUCUUCAUCUAGGCGCGCUUCCCAGACAGUCUCAAGCGUUCUUUACGACAACUACUAAUUGAAAGAAGAUUUUAUAAAGUUCUCUUCCUGGAAUAAGUGCUCUUCUUAUUCGCGAGUGUUAAGAAAACUAUUUUGUUCGAACUGAGUGAAAGAAAAACUAAGAAUGGCUUCUCUGAUCAACGUAAGGCUGAAUAGGGGCGAUGCUUCCCCGUGGGGUUUUAGACUUCAAGGUGGAAAGGACUUUGGAACGCCUCUAGUUAUUCAAAAGGUGAAUGGAAACAGUCUGGCAGAGAAAGCCGGUCUGCAGGUGGGUGACGCAGUAAUCAGAGUGAACGGCCAGGAAGUGUUCAACUUGAGACACAAGGAUGCUCAGGACAUCAUCGUCAGGAGUGGCAACAACAUCGAGAUCUCCAUCCAGAGGGGUGGCGCUGCGACUUGGAAGCCAGCGGUGCAGACCGUGGGGGGUGGAGUGGCCGCCAGCCCCCACUUGCCCUCCAAUGUGGCCCCCGUUACCAAGACCUCCCUGGCCGCUACCAAGCCUGCUGGCCCCACCGGCAUUGGAUCCUCGCACAACCUCUCACCAAGGCCCUUCAACCAGGUUAAUGGCGGCGAGCCUGUGAAAUCGAUUGUCAACAAGCAGUACAACAGUCCGGUGAACAUCUACAGCGAGCAGACCAUUGCCGAGACCCUGUCCGCCCAGGCAGAGGUAUUGGCUGGAGGUGUAUUGGGAGUUAACUUCAAGAAGAACGAGAGAGGCUACGAUGCCGAGAAGAGUGAAGUCUACAAAAUGCUUCAGGAGGCUGAACGAGAACCUAAGACACCCGAACCCGACGUGAAAUCGAGCACGGCUUACUACUCGAGCGUCAGCCACGCUACGGGCGGCAGAGCCGUUUCACCCCGCCCCAUGACGCCGAUCGCCCAGCAAAUGAAUUUGCCCCUACCCCCGCAGACACAGGCGCCCCCCUACAUGCCGUCAGGGGGGCCUGCAUCCUCAUCCAGGUCGGAGCCACCCAAGUGCUCUGGUUGUGGCAAGACUAUUGUCGGUGUGUUCGUCAGAAUAAAAGACAAGAACUUGCACGUUGAGUGCUUCAAGUGCGCCACGUGUGGCUCAUCCCUGAAGAACAUCGGCUACUACAGCAUCAACAACAAGCUCUACUGCGACAUUCACGCCAAGCUGGUGGCCCGUCAGAACCCACCCGGACCCAACAUGGAUCCCAUCACUGUACCUCCUCAAUCGAGUGGGUUUCCUCCUUCGUCUGCUGCAGCGCCAGCAUCGCCACAAUCCAAUCUGGCGCCACUGCCUUUCCACACACCAAGAGUGGCACCUUCUCACGUGGCUGCUCCAAGACCUGUACCUAAGUCUUCGGGAUCAACCAAUACAGUGCCGAAGCCGUUUAGCAGCGUUCAACCGCCUUCGGCUCCUUACCAGCCCCCGGCAGCUCCUUACCAGCCACCGGCAGCUCCUUACCAGCCACCGGCAGCUCCUUACCAGCCCCCAGCGGCUCCUGCACCUCCCGCCCCUGCUCCAGCCCCUGCGCCACCUGCAGCGGCCCCCUUCUACAACAAACCUCAAUCAGCCGAAAACAGUAUUUUUGCUCGGCCAUCCAAUCAGCAAGAUGGGUCCGACUCAACCCCGGCUGCCAAGGCUACUCCCUCAUCAUCCAACCACCCUCCAUCCUCAUUGUCCUUACCAGAUUAUUGCUCCAGUGGCAUUGUAAACCCAGUCACACCAAUAGAAGAGAUUCCUUGCUGUCUGAAUAAGAAUAAGAGAAUGUCGAUUUGUUCGGAGGAGGUUUGCCAACUGUCCGAGGAGGACAAGCAGAAAUUGAAAGGUGCCUGCUUGUUGAUGAUGAAAGAGGAGAGUGAGAGGCCAGAGUCCCCUGUUCCUUUCCCAAAAUCUGGCAGCGACUCUACGGUGACAACUCCACAGACAGAAGAAAUGAAAAGCUUUGGUCUAGCUGUGUCCAACAUGAAUAUUGAGGAGAAGAGAGAAGGAAACACUUCAACAAAAACGUUAGUUUCAGAACAGUUACAAUCACGUGGCAUGGAGGGUUCAUCAUCUAGUCAAAAAGUUGAAAAGUCUGAAGACAAUGGAGUGCAGAGAACCAGAACUAUCAAGACUGAAGAAAGUUUUUCCCAUUCUUCUAGCUCAUUUUCAUCUGUCAGAGCUUCUCAAUCCACACGUUGCAUAACACCUGAGAUUUGUGAGAUUAUGGAGAAACCAUUCGGUAGCCCUUCUCUUCUCCCUCCAUCUAUGGACAGACCAACCACUCCCCAACAAGUGAUCAGUUUCCCACCUGACAUACCAGAGUGCCUUCCUCAACCCAAAUCUCGAACAGGAACUCCUCAGCCUCAACCCCUACAGAGAAUCCUCACAGAAGAGCUUGGUGUGAAACCAAUACAGCCUUCUCUCCCAAAACAAGAAAUGGCAGAGCUUUUCCAGGUCACAAGUUCAAAAGAUGAUAGUACAAUGGUGAAAAUAGAAGAGCUCUAUACUAAAACUCAAGUGGAUGAGAUUGUCAAGAAAGAAUUGAUAAAAUAUCAAACUGGAGCAGAAUCAGUUGAUAUGGGGAUUUUUGAUGAGAAUGUGAAACAAAUGCUGCAGCAGCAGCAGCAACAACAGUUCCAGGAACAAGAAGAGCAGCAAAGACAAGAACAGCUUCAACGUCAGCUGGAACAACAGAGACAGGAACAACUCCAUCGUCAGCAGGAACAACAGAGACAGGAACAACUCCAACGUCAGCAGGAACAACAGAGACAGGAACAACAGAGACUGGAACAUCAGAGACAGGAACAACGUCAGCAGGAACAACAGAGACAAGAACAUCAGAGACAGGAACAACGUCAGCAGGAACAACAGAGACAAGAACAGUUUCAACGUCAGCAGCAACAAAAGCAAGAGCAGAUAAAACGUCAACAGGAAGUAGCACAACAGGAGAAACAGAGACAAGAACAGGUCCAGUAUGAGCAUGGACAAAUGAAAUUGCAGCAUCAGCAGCAAGCAAUCACUCAGAAAUUUCAUCAAGAGGAAUAUCAACAGAAGCAAGUUUCUGAAGUGUCUGAGAGUCAGUCAAAUAGAGAAGUACAAUCAUUGUUUCAUCAAAAGUCAGAGAGAUCAUUCAGCCCAGUCCAUGCACCACCAAAGAUAAUUCGCCCCAAGCCCCAAAUGGUGCCUCUACCACCAGAAACAAAGCCUUAUCAGCCUCCUCCACCACCUCCACAAAUUUCAGAAGAAGAGUCACGUGCUGAGAUGCUGGAGUACAGGAAGAUGGCCUGCCAGUCGCCCAUGGUGGCUGCUCUGACUGUGGCUCCAAGCAGACCUUUCACACCAACCUCCUUCCAGCCCAUACCCACUCUCGAUGAUCUCCCAAAACCACCAGUUGGUGAGAGCAUGUCACUUUUGUCAGCACUUACCAUAGCACCUGAUGAACCAUUUCAUCCCUUUCCAAAGCCAGUUGAUGUGUCUAGAAUAUCACCACCAACGUUUCAAAAGUGGCAGCAACAGUCUGCUGUCUCACAGGAAUCAAAUCAGAAGUCCAUGACACAAAAGCAAGAGCAGAAUUCCACAAGUUGCAUGCAGCAAUCACAGACAUUCUCCUGUCAGAAAUCAAUGAGCUGUUCAAAGCAAGUUUGUGAGAGACAGCUAGUGUCAAAGUCUACAGAAGGGAACAGUGCCUUCAAACCAAUGUUUAAACCUCAGCCUCUUCCUUUACCUGAGCCCAUAACAAAACAAUCUAUUCAAACAACUUAUGUACCAAAAUGUUCCACAGUAUCUGAUGACGUGAAAAGUAACACAUCCAAACCAUUCAUUCAGAACUUUUCAAUCAAAUCACAAGUUGAUAUUCGAAGUAUUAGUCCUUCAGGUCUGCACAAACCUGCUAUUUUGCCAACCUAUCAGCAGAAUAUAGGAGAUAACUCCCUUCCAAAUAGAUCCAAAUCCCCUGUUCCACAUAAAGCUCCAAUGACUGACUCUUCAAAAUCUCAGUUCUCUCCAAGAAGUAGCAGUGUAGCUGGAAAUAUUAUCUCUUCAAAUAAUGCCAGAGCUAGGAGCUUCAUUGGUAGCUCAAGUGGGUAUGUAUCCAGUAGUGUUUAUGGUCAAACAUUCACAAGUGAUAAGGAUGAACCUUCUCAGAGGCCAAAAUCAACAACUUUUGGAGAAGCAUCUGAUAACCUCCUACCCUACUAUCAGCAGAAUAUUGGUGAAAUCCCACUUGCUCAUCGGCCAAAGUCACCAGUUCCUCAUCCUAUAAAAGCCCCAUCAGUAUCCACCCCGGCAAGGGCGUCACCAAUCAUGAAUAAGCCAUCGCCAUUAGCUGGUAAAGCUCCAGAAACUCUAUCAAAGUCAAAACAAGUGUUCAAACCAGAAGUGAAACCAUACAAUAACGUGUUUGCAACUCCUCCAGAACCACUAAAACCUCUGAACAAGACUCUCCCUCAUUUCACAAAACCGAAAUCUGUGGAAGAGACAACACAGAAAACUGCUGGUGUGCCAUGGGUGGUGAAAAAGGUUGAGGAACUGUCAAACAGUUCAGUGACAAAGAAUAAAGAGAAAACAUCUCUAUCAUCUUUGCUGAAAUCUACAAUGCCACAGCCUGUAUCAUCCCUGUCUGUAACCUCUCCUAGUGUCUCCGCCACGGGUAGCCAGAAAUCGGCAGCCGGAUUUACUCCUCCUAAACCCGUAGGUGCUCCCACUACAUCAGUCCCCCCAACAGGUGCCGGCGCCGGUGGCGGCUCAGCUGGCAACAAGGGCGCCACUUUUGCAGGGUCGACGGCACCCCGCCGUGGUCGUGGCACCCUCAACGCUGGUGUUGCACCGGGCGCGCGCAUCCCGCUUUGUGGCAGCUGCAACAGUCAGAUUAGCAUUGACAUCGCCUGCAAAUGAUGCCCUUGUUAUGAUGAUAGCUGACAGUGUCUCGAAGGAAAACUAUCCUGUUUGCAAUAAAUGUGGAGAAAUGAUCAAAAGGGGACCGUUCAUCACCGCCCUGGGCAAGAUCUGGUGUCCAGAGCACUUUGUGUGCGCCAACGUGCAGUGCAAGCGACCUCUGCAGGAUGUCGGCUUUGUCGAGGAAAGCUCCGGCCUUUAUUGCGAGUUCUGUUUCGAACAGUUCUUGGCACCCGCCUGCAAUAAGUGCAACAAGAAGAUCAAAGGGGAUUGUUUGAAUGCGAUUGGAAAGCACUUCCAUCCCGAAUGUUUCUGCUGUGCGUACUGCGGAAAGCUGUUCGGAAACAGUCCCUUCUUCCUGGAAGAUGCUCUCCCCUACUGCGAGAACGAUUGGAACGAGCUUUUUACUACUAAAUGUUUUUCGUGCGGCUUCCCCAUCGAGGCCGGUGACAGAUGGGUCGAAGCUUUGGCUAACAACUACCACAGCCAGUGCUUCAACUGCACUAUGUGCAAAAAGAAUCUUGAAGGACAGAGCUUUUUCGCCAAAGGAGGUCGACCAUUUUGCAAGAAUCACGCUCGCUAAUGUCGACUUCGAUUAUUAGAAUAACAAAUCUACCACAAUGUAUUCUCUAUCUCUGUAUUAUCUAUAGGUAUUGAUAAUUUUACAAUUAUCUUCGAACAAUAAUAGUAAGUUAUUUGUCAUUCAUCGAUUUUUAACAAAAAAAUAUGUUCAUUUUUGUUUUUGAUGAUUCCCAGCAGCCAGCACAAGAAGAUUCAUAUCAAUAGUGAAAGUGUUUCCAUAAUGUACAUUGGAAUCCCUUUAUUCAGCUUUCGAUUACCAUUAUUGUUAUAUAUUUUAUUGUUAAUUAAGCCCUGCUGUGUAUGUUUUCUGCUGUAAUUAACUAGAAAUUCUGAUUUUGGAGUUCUUCAUUGAUGAGAUACGAAAGCAUAGUGAUACAAAUAACUAUUCCAAUGUUAUCAAAAAUGGGUGAUUCUUAUUCAUUAUAUUCUCGUAACUGUACCCUUUCCAGGUAUCUUUAUCUAUGAAUUAUGUAUCUUGUUAUUUUGAACAUGAUUUCUGAAAAGUUACCAUCCCGAAUACACGAAAAACUUGAGAAAAACGUACCAAAGACUUGACAGUCCAUCUGUUAUAAUAUACCUUUUUGUGAGAGAGGGACUGUUUAAUGAUUAUUAUUGUUAUGACUAGUCAAAUUAAAUGGGUUUAUCUUCCUUAAAAUCCACUGUUUAUCAAUAUCUAUCAUGGAAUUUUCAAUACUCAUCAUUCUCAAUCAAUCCUUGUCAGUAAUAAUUAUUCCUCCAGAAAUGUAUUAUUCCAUGCUCAUUAAUGUUAUGAACUCAGCAAACUCAAUGUAUUUCUCCCUAGCAUGCCUUUCAUGUGUAGCCUAUAAUCCUCUUUGUAAUUUGUGUGUUCUUCUCACUAUAUUAAUAAAUUUAUGAUUGUUGAUAACUCUUUACGAAUAUUGUUAAGUUGACCUAUAGAAAUUUACUAUAUUAAGUUAAACUAUUUGUUAGAUGUUUAUUGCUGAUUGUUGUAAAUAACUGAACCGAUAAACAUUCGUUUCAA